GUUGACCUCGGAUCAGGUAGGAAUACCCGCUGAACUUAAGCAUAUCAAUAAGCGGAGGAAAAGAAACCAACAGGGAUUGCCCUAGUAACGGCGAGUGAAGCGGCAACAGCUCAAAUUUGAAAUCUGGCCUUCUGGUCCGAGUUGUAAUUUGUAGAGGAUGCUUUUGGCGCGGUGCCUUCCGAGUUCCCUGGAACGGGACGCCUUAGAGGGUGAGAGCCCCGUACGGUUGGACACCAAGCCUCUGUAAAGCUCCUUCGACGAGUCGAGUAGUUUGGGAAUGCUGCUCUAAAUGGGAGGUAAAUUUCUUCUAAAGCUAAAUACCGGCCAGAGACCGAUAGCGCACAAGUAGAGUGAUCGAAAGAUGAAAAGCACUUUGAAAAGAGGGUUAAAUAGCACGUGAAAUUGUUGAAAGGGAAGCAUUUAUUACCAGACCUUUUCCUAGCGGAUCAUGCGGUGUUCUCACCGUUGCACUUCGCUAGGUUCAGGCCAACAUCGGUUUCUGUAGGGGGAUAAAAGCUCGAGGAACGUAGCUCCCUCGGGAGUGUUAUAGCCUCUUGCAUAAUACCCUUACGGGGACCGAGGACCGCGCUUCGGCAAGGAUGUUGGCAUAAUGGUAAUCAAUGACCCGUCUUGAAACACGGACCAAGGAGUCGAACAUUUGUGCGAGUGUUUGGGUGUUAAACCCUCACGCGUAAUGAAAGUGAACGUAGGUGAGAGCCCUUACGGGUGCAUCAUCGACCGAUCUUGAUGUCUUCGGAUGGAUUUGAGUAAGAGCAUAACUGUUCGGACCCGAAAGAUGGUGAACUAUGCGUGGAUAGGGUGAAGCCAGAGGAAACUCUGGUGGAGGCUCGCAGCGGUUCUGACGUGCAAAUCGAUCGUCAAAUCUGCGCAUGGGGGCGAAAGACUUAUCGAACCAUUAAACCAGCGGUAAAAUUACUUACUAGGUGGUUAAGAGGCCCCCCGCGAGGGGAGAGGCCUAGGCGGGACACCCUGGAGGCGCUACCUGGUACUCGCUACCCGGUACUCCAGGGCGGACUGCCGACACCGCUAAAUUGCGGGGACAUCCUACAGAAGGCCAGGGGCUACCGCCGGCCGCCGAAAGGCGUGCCGGCACUGAGAGUAGCGCUCUUGGGCGGUAAUAACGCCCCUGGUAACGGACGACCUGCAGCCAACCCCGCACUACAGGGGAGGGUUCACAGACUAGACAGCGGUGGGUUGGCUUCUGCCGGCCUAAGACAUAGUCGAUCUGGGCCCCGAAAGGGCGCCCUGCAAGCGCGUCCCACAGUG
rnacentral:rRNA from 1 species